CUUGCGAAGACAGAACUGCUUGUCAUAUCACCUGAACCAAAGAUUCAGCACAACAUUUCCAUUCAGCUAGGUUCCUCGACCAUCACACCUUCCAGAACGGCCAAAAACCUGGGAGUGGCCAUUGAUUGAGCACCGCUCGCUUUUGUAGAUUUAUCCUCUACAAUAUUAGGAAAAUUAGACCUUUCCUAAAUAAGCAUUCUACGCAGGUCCUAGUCCAAGCUCUUGUCCUGUCCAUGCUGGACUACUGCAAUGCGCCACUGGCUGGACUUCCUGCCUGCACAACCAAAACCCCUACAGAUGAUUCAGAACGCAGCGGCAAGAGUGGUCUUCAAUGAGUGCGAACCUCAGUCCUCUCUUUGUCAAGUUACACUGGCUUCCUAUAGCAGCUCACAUCAGAUUUAAAACUCUGCAUCUGGCCUUUAAAACCACCAAUGGGUCAGCACCCCCUUACCUUCACUUGCUUAUACAGCCUUAUGUACCCUCUUGAUCCCUGCGCUCUGCCACCGAGCGAUGGUUGGUGGUGCUAUCUCAAAAAGGUAAAUAAAACUUAACGCGUACCUUCUCAGAAGCUGUUCCACAACUGUGGAAUGAUCUGCCAGCCGUUACACAAUCUGCUGACUCUGUAGCUGUCUUUAAGAAUCGGAUAAAAACCAUCUCUUCUGCCAUUACCUCACUUCCUAAUAUUGGACUUACUAUCUUUUUCUAUUUUUCCUUUCUCUUUAUCUGUACAUUUCUUUAAAAAAAAACUAUUACUAACCAACCCUUGGCUGUAUAUACUGUGUUGGACUUGAUGAGACUAUUUCCAGUGCACUUAUGUAUUGCUGUUCUUGUGUUGCUAUAAUUGCUUCUAUUGUUUACCUCAUUUGUAAGUUGCUUUGGACAAAAGCGUCUGCUUAAUGACUAAAUGUAAAUGUAAUAAAUGAAGUCUUUCUGUAAAGAGGCUAUACUUUUAUUUACAAAUCUUCUGUGUGAAAGUGUGUUCACUAAACCUUUUUUGUUCCCUUUUCAUUUAUAAUUGUACAUAAAGAGCUAAUAAACAUUUGAGGAAGUGUUUCUCCCUGGGAAAUUUCUCUGAUAUUUGUAUAGACUCAAAGGUAACUUCUUGAAUUAAAAAUUCAAAUCCAGGAUGGAAGAUAUGUCGGUAGAAGAGAUGAAAACUAAAGGCGACAAACUAACAAAUAAGUCCCUUAAAAGUACUAGGCGGAUUCUACAGAUGGCAGAAGAGUGCCAGAAUACAGGGGGAAAAACAAUGGACAUGUUGGAUAAGCAAGGAAACCAGUUGAAGAAG